ensembl:lncRNA
GAGAGACUCUGCAGCUAAUGUUCAUAAAAGCUUGAAGAAUUUGAGGAUUUUACUAGUUAUUUUAUGUCACAGUAAAUUGGAUUGUGUGUGAAGAGGCUCAACUGUCUGAAUCAUUGAACAGUGAUCUAAUUUAUUGUUUCCUUUCUUUAGACUGCUGAUCUGAUCGUCUCAAGUCUGACUGCUGAUCUGAUCGUCUCAAGUCUGGUGACCUGCUGCAGAAGAUCCUCUCUCUCUAUCAUUAUAAGCAAUUCUGUCUAUCCUAUCACUCUCCCGACUCUAUCUAAUUUGACAGCCAUUCUAUCUUGUAUCCCUCUAUCCUCUACUGCUCUAUCUAAUUUGACAGCCAUUCUAUCUUGUAUCCCUCUAUCCCUACUGCUCUAUCUAAUUUGACAGCCAUUCUAUCUUGUAUCCCUCUAUCCCAAGCGCUCUAUCUAAUUUCAGAAUCCAAGUUUUCAGAAAUCCAAGUUUUCAGAUUCCAAGUUUUCAGAAAUCCAAGUACCAGUACUUGAUCUAUCUGUUACAGAAUUCUGAGAGAUCUCUGCUCUCACUGCUCCUUCUUUC